AGAAGAAGUUUUUAUGAGAUUUUGAAGGAUCAGAGAGCUAGCUUCAUGCUUCGAGAAGGGAAAAAAAGACAGAGAAUUGGGGUUUUUUUCUUCAUAGGAUUUUGGAAAGACUGAGGCAAUCGUUGCUGAAGUCAGUGUUAUAAUGGUGAAUCGGGAUUUUUAAUGAAGUGGGUUUGAUUACUCUUGACUGUUUUGUGAAAUCGAGUUA
rnacentral:lncRNA from 1 species